AGGGUCCUCUGCCUAGGAAAACCAGAGACCCUUGUUCACAUGUUUAUCUGCUGACCUUCCCUCCACUAUUGUCCUAUGACCCUGCCAAAUCCCCCUCUCCGAGAAACACCCAAGAAUGAUCAAUAAAUACUAAAAACAAACAACAACAAAAAAAACAACUAUGCUGAGUAAAAGGAGCCAGACCCAAAAGACCAUCUAUGAUUCUACUUAUAUGAAAUCUUUAGAAAUGCAAAAGUAUAGCCAGCAUGGUGGUUCAUACCUGUAAUCCCAGCACCUUGGGAGGCCAAGGCGGGCGGAUUACUUGAGAUCAGGAGUUUGAGACCAGCCUGGCCAACACGGCAGAACCCAGUCUCUACUAAAAAUACAGCCAGGUGUGGUAGUGCACGCCUAUAAUCCCAGUUACUCUGGUGGCUAAGGCACAAGAAUCACUUGAACCCGGGAGGUGGAGGUUGCAGUGAGCCAAGAUGAUGCCACUGAACUCCAGCCUGGGUGGCAAAGGAAGACUGUCGAAAAAAAAAAAAAAGAAAAAGAAAAAGAAAAAGAAAAGAAGGAAGGGAGGGAGGGAGGGAAAGAAGAAAGAAGGAAGGAAGGAAAGAAGGAAGGAAGGAAAAGAAAAGAAAAGAAGAGAAAGGAAGGAAGGAAGAAAAGGCAAAACUAUAGAAUCAGAGAACAGAUUAGUGGCUGCUGGGGCCUGGGGUAGGAGAGGAGACUGACUAUAAACAGGCAGGAGGGAACUUUGUCAGUCGACAGUCAUGUUCUGUAGCUAGAUUGGGAUGAAGUUUGCUGUUAAAAAUGCACUAAAACUCACCAAACUACACUUAAGAUGGGUAGAUUUUGUGGUAUAUAAGUUAUACUUCAAAAAACUAUAAAUAAGAAAGUUAACUGGAACAUCCUGUGCUUUCCAAAUCAAGACACCUUUCAGAGGAUACAUUCAUAGCCUUUGCCCCGGGCAAGCGGAGCCCUCCACCACGUGGCCAGAAUUUCCUGACGUCCAAGAAAGGGCAUUAAACAAUAUGGCUUCUGAGAAAACAUCUAAUAUCAGAUAAGUCAUUGAAUAUAAAAGUUCAUCUCUGUACUCACAGUGCCAGAGUCAGUGCCUGGCCCACAGUAAACACCUAAAGAGUAUUUAUUGAAAAAAAUGAAUGGGUUGUUAUUUUAUCAGGGACUAUACUCUUAGGGAGGAAUGAGGUACAAGGGGAGAGAUGCUGGAAAGGAUGGAGAGCCAAUAUGGAGGAGUACUGAGCUGCCGAGUGUGACUGAUUGCUCAAUCCACAGACCACACUCCCAAGAAGGUGGAUAAAUGGGAGCUCAGAACCAGCCCUGUGAUGGAGUGGGGAAAGGGAGAAGAACUUACUCCCGGGAUGUGCUUGGUCUAAGAUUCACCCCCUUGCUCCUCUGGAUUGUGCAUUCCAGAGCGUGGGCAUUAGUGGAGUCUGCAGUGAUGUCAACAUGGGAGUGUUGGGUGGGAGAUGAGAGGGGUACUGGUGUGAAAUUGGCUGGGGCCCACACAGAGCUGGAACAAGAGAUGGGGAGGCCGAGGCUCUGGAGUGGUGCAUAAACAGGUGUUGGGCACAAUGUAUAUAAAUUAGCCUUUUAAAUUAUCUACCAUCAUGGGCAGGACUUGAGACUGGAGGAUAGGCCAUUUGGGGAAGGUUUAUGUGGGGUGUUCUCAUAUUCAAUUCCUGGCAAGGUUCUAGGUACAUUGGAAGUAUCAAUAAGAAUCAACUGGUUGAUUGCAUAGAGGCAUCUAAGCAGGCCAGUAUGAUACUAGGUACUAGGUUCCUAAAGGGGGACACUGAUGGAGGGGAAGUGAAUGUGGGGACAUGAGGAGAAAUGGUGGACAGAAAGGGGCUGAAAACAAACUUAAUCCACUUUAUAAUUUUGUCUGGGUCCAAGCUGACUUGGAAAUAUUCCCUAUGUCCUCUCCUUUGUUCUAAAAGCACCCAGAACCCCUUCCGAAGUUUCUUCUUUAAUAAGAUUUCCUAAUCAUUAUAAAACCCACUUAAGACCCAGGUAAAGGUUGUGCUCCUAAGGAUCAAUAAACUCAACUUUCCACUAGAUUUUCCUGAAGCCCAAGCACUGCUCUCUUUGUUUUCAGCAUAUAUCACCACCGCCUAAGUUAGGUCUGUUGUCCAGUAAGUAGAUAGUAUAGCUCUCUUUUGCUCCACACAUUGUCUACAGCUGACAGGUAUCAUUUGGAGAAUAAAAUUAGCAAAUGUUAUUGCUGUGUCUAUUUAUAUUUUAUUAAUCAACAGAUUUUUAGCAAAUUUUGGUUUUAUCUCCAUGAAUCAUAGACUUGAAAGGCCAAAGACACUCCAGGGAAUUCUUUAUUUUAGCAUCUUCUUUCCAGGCAAAAAGACAGGACAUCCCCAUUAGAGUUGUUGUAUUGGACCCCUCGUGUGCACCACUUCAAAGUCCUCUUGGGUUGUUCCUCUUAUUUCAGCCACAGCUGUAGACACCUGUUUUCCUGGAGGCUUUGAGCAGCUUGGCACAGGUGCUCUAGGACAGUGGCCUCACCUUGACCCUCAUAGGGAUCUCUUGCUUCCUGCCCUAGCCAUCUCUAAUCUUGGUUAAUAGUUCUAGAAAUCCACUCUGCACUCAAGCACAACCCAGCAGUGCAGGGGAGUUAGUCUUGUGAGGGCCAGUCUAGACCAGUGAAGAUCUGGAGUCAGUGGAUAAAAGCACUCCAUUUCAUCCCCUGGCAGACAGUUCUGAAACACUUCAUAAACCCUUUCACCAGUCCACUGGGAUCAACCAGCCAAUGCAAUGACACAGGCUUCUGUUGGCUCCUCCCCUCACUUUCUUCCACUCCCCCUUUCUGCAUUUCUGCUCCUGAGGAUCACAUUUCCAAACAAGCUACUUAUGCACAAGUCCCCAAAUGCUGAGCCAGAGACUAAGGCUUGUGCAUAAGUAGUCUCUGGCUCAGCUUUUGGGGGACCCUAGGCUAACACAAGUGGUUGGCAGUCUUAGAUUGGGUUUGCAAAAUCUCAUACCCUGGAUUCAUGCUCCCAGGGUGCAUCACCCAUGAUUGGUCCCUUGAUGCACCCACCACCUCCCCGACAGAAGGACUCCUCAACUACAGUGAUGUGGUGUGUGUGUGUGUGUUUGAUGUGUGUAUUUUUUCCAAGGCUGAAAUAGGAAACAGGAAAGAGACAUUCCCUGAGAACUUUUGUGCCUACCCUUUUUUUGGUUCUCUCACUUGUCUCCUUUAUACAAGGAGGACACAGAUUUAGAGAGGCCAGAUAACUCAUCCAAGACCACACAGCAAGAAUUCAAACUAGAAUUUGAACCCAGUCCUGUGGAUUCAAAGUCCAUAAUCUUUCUACAGCAUGGGAACAGCAGACAAAUCCUUAUAAGUCUUGAGCAUCCUUUUACUUCCACAUGUACUCCUUGAAGAUCUAUAGGACACACUUUACAUAAGGCAUGACCUGUAGAUGUGCAGUUUCACUCUUUUCUGGGGUCAUUUCUUCUCAGGUCUCUGCAUUUGGUCCUUCUCCAUCUCCUUUGGAAAACAAGGUGCUGAGCUGCUUUCCUGGCUCAUUUUGACUCUCAGUGUAAAAAGUGUUCUGCUUUGUUGGCUAGAUUUUCCCCUUUUCUUCCUCCACUGGGUCACAUACUUUCACCACGAAGCCUUUUGGCUUAUCUUUUUAUUCUCCUUUGCCUCAUUAGAAGCAUAACUACAGACUCCCUUGGUGCAAAUUCCUUCACUCUAGGCAGAAGUGCAGAAGCUACCACGUGGAGAAGCAUUUCCCAGACAUCUUCAAUGUCUCUUCAAGCUUGACUUGGGGGAAUGCAUAGGAAGGAAGGUGAACAUCAUAAACCCAUGGAGACCACUGACACAACCCUCAUCUUCCAAGGUGCUUGGUUAGAAUGGAGUCUCACUCUGGCUGGAAUGCAGUGGUGCAGUCUUGGCUCACUGCAACCUCUGUCUCCCGAGUUCAAGCGAUUCUCCUGCCUCAGCUGCGCAAGUAGCUGGUAUUACAGCAGAUGAAUAAUAGGGGGUCUCCAACCGGACAGAAAAUGAAUGCUGUCCUCACAUUUGUGUAAGAGGAGCCGAGACAUCUGGAUGUGAAGCCCCAUCAAGUGCUCCCAGGGGCAAUGGUGGCACCUGUGGAACCUCCAACAGCUCAUGGAGCCCCACCUUCUGAAAGAUGUUCAGAGCUGAGUGUGCGGGAGCCGUGGCUCAUACAGGGCUUUGGGAGACAGAAUCACAUUUAGAAAGUAAGGCUGUGUGACAAUACCCAGGGCACAUUCCCAGCUGUCCCUGCCUUUAUCGUUUGUAGGGACCUGGUGCUUUGCAGUUCUCCUGGAUCCUGCAUAAACCCUGGAGCUUUGGGAUACAGGCUAAUGGAAUAUCCUUGCCCCUGGGGGAGGGCUACACUGGUGUCCUCACCCUUGACUUCAUGGUGAUGGUGGUUCACCUUGCAGAUGGAUCCCAAUGUCCCUCUGUGAGACAUAGAUGAUUUCACAGCACAGCUUUUUUGGGGUCUAUCCUGAUCUGACCCAGUUUAACAGUGGGUAGAGUCCUCCAUGUCUUUCUCCAUCAUCUCCUGGGAACCAGUUUCACACCUGACCUCUAUUUUAUGCUUUCCAAAUUACACAGGAAAAUUUGGCUUCCUUCUGGAAACUCCUAAAGUGCAAAACACUCAUGUUUUUAACUGCUCCAUCCCUAUUAUAAUAGUCAAUACAUAUUAAGCACUUACUGUGUGCCAGGCUGUCUGUGCCAAGAAAUUUGCAAACAUUAGCUUACUUUAUCUUUACAGGAGUUCUCUGAGAUAGGUAUUAUUAACAUAUAAUGGUUUGUUAAUACAAAGUUUCACAGAUGCUUCCAGAAUUCACAAAAAACUGUGCACAGUGUCUUUAAGAAUUAACUGGCACAUUCAUACCUUGAUGAGAGCAUUCUCUUUUAAUCAUGCCCUUCUUAUUUGCCAUACCAUUUACAACAAAAUACACCAUUGAUGUUUAGCUAAAUGAAAGCUGAAAAAGAAAAUUGGUGAAUGAGAAAGCCAGUGGUCAUGAAAGUGCUAGAAAUAUUCAGCAGUUUGAAUAGCUCUGAACUGUGUAAAUCAUUUGAAAUAUUCCUUCCCCCACCUAUGAACUGAUUUUUAUUGUUUUUCAUAAAUUUUUUCUUUUUUUCAUAGUAUUAAUGUAUUGUAUGUGUUUUCAAAUAUUUUCUCAUAUAUGAAAAGGGCCAUUCCACAGUGUUCUUUGUAAGCUUUCCCUCACAUCAUUGUUUUGGAUGAGGCUUUAUGCUUCUCAAAGCAGUGAGAUAACAGAUAACACAGAAGCCAUGUGCUGGCACUUCUAUUCAGGUUGGCAUGGCCUCAACCAUUUUGAGUCAAAUUUCUGUCUAGUCUAGUAGGACCAUUUCCUAAAGUUGUAUCCAUACUAGGAAGGCAGAUAUGAAGAAAUGCUGCUAUGCUACCAAUCAGAAUAAUGUAGGCUUUGGGGUCCUGGGCUGGUAAAGCCUGGGUAUGAUGGCUAAAUUGAGCUGUUCUUACCCAGAUGAGGCUUAUGGUCAUCUGCUCUGUCUCCAAAGGUAAUCAGCCACUGCACAUGAGGUUUACUACACUGCACACGCAUGUGUGUUCUCUAGGUAAAUUUAAAUGAUAUUUUUUGGGGGGAAUCUGAGCUCAAAGAGAUAGAGUUCAAAUCAGAUCCAGUGUCUUUUCUGUCUCUAGGUGCCCAAAAUUGUCAUAAAGAGACAAUCUCUUACCUUCUGAGAAAUAUCAGUCAUUCCCUGUGACUCACACCAGCUUCUAUAUUUAGAACUGGGUCUCCUGCCAUCUGAUGCAGGCCACAGAUGAACAGGUCUCCUGCCAUCUGAUCCAUACGCCACACUUCAGGCUAUGUUAUCCCUAAGCCCACCACAUCCACUUACGAUUGAGGACAAAGGAAAAAGAAAGGGCCAUCAUCUUUAUGUGUCUUUUAAAGGACAUUCCUGUCAGUAAGAAGAAAGAGUCUAAGAUUUUACCCCGCUAACAAGUUAUCCUAUUACAGUUUUAUAGAGCAGAGGACAAAAAACUACUGGGUCAAAGACAAAGACUUUAUUCCAUAUAGCAAUAGCAGUAGCCAGAGUAUCAGUAAUUUCUUGAACUGGUUCCUAAGACUCCAAUUAUUCCAAUAGGGUGUUAUAAAGAGGGCCACAUGACACCCACACACACAGCAGAUUGCAUUACAUGAGAGAAAACUCUGAGCUUAGGGAACCAGAAUCUUUUAUAAUAAGCGGUAAGCAUCCCUCCAUGCUCUAGAAGGAAACACUUUCUCUGCCACUUAAGGCUACUUAUUAUACAACUGUUAUUUUAAAAAACAGCUCUGGAACAAAGGGCAACCAGUGCCUCUGCUUGCAAGAUGUGUGAUUAGAACUAUAGAGAAUUUUCUCCCAAGAAUCCUUUGAUUUUGCUGUUGCCAGUUAUGGCAAAAAGGCAUACUGUGGCUUUAUAAUAUAGCAAUUGCUCCCUCAAUAGGCAACCACACACUUUCGGUCAGGGUUCUUGGGCACUUGGCUUUGGGCCUUGAGAAUCCCAUGGUUUCCAAAGAGAAUGUAAAUAUAAAUAAUGAUGUUUGAUUACACGUGUCCGUAUAAAGGUAUUCCACUUUGAAAAGUAACUUAGGAAAAAACAAAAACCCCAAAAAAGCCCACUUAAAAUUUCACACAUUUUUUAAAAGGGAAACGGUUUUAUUCCUUACGCUUUAUUUGAAUUGGAACCCUGCAUUUAAAUUUUAGCAUGUUGAGGUUCUUUAGAAAGGAAAGAUAAGUUUACAUACAAUCCCAGACAGAAUAUAAAAAAGACUCAUCAAAAGAGAAUUCUAAUUCCAGUCAAGUGACCCUCUUUCUACAAAUUGUUAAUUAAAAGCUCAAGGGUAAAAUAGGACAAAAAACCCAUUUAUUCAUUUUCAGAUAAAGGUCAGUUCUUCCAUGGUAUAACAUUAUUUUCCCUAGGGCAGUUAUAUUCAUACAUAGAAUCUACUUUAGCAAAAAUAUUAUCUGUUUAACUGGAAAUCUAUACAGAUAAUUAAAUUCCUGCUAUCUCACACAGCUACCUCUAGUCUUAUGGAAUAAAUGAGUGCACAUCAGGAUUUUUAAUUUUCUCAUUAAUAUAGCAAAUAAGUAAAAUUCAUUUACACGGCAUUUCUUCACUUUUAAAGAGCAAUGUUUCCUGUUCACUCUGCACUUUUAAAGUGUAAACACAACAUUCUUGCCAUAAGAGAUAAAAAGACUAUAUUCUCUUCAAAAAAGUGCUUUUAUGUGAAUAAAAAGGAAGUGUAUUCGAUUUUGUAGAAUCAUCACAAACAGAACUUAAAAUCACACUAGAAAUAGAUGCUAACAGAAAGCUGUUGAGUUUCCUUGCAAACAGGAAAAGAAGCAGUGGAUGUUCCAAAACUGGGGAUCCUGUCAAUGGCUGGGUCUGCUUAGUUGUGUGCAGUGCUCUGAAAGGGCUACAUCAGAAAUUCCUUAGUAAAUGAGUAAGUGAGAGUCAGAAUCUAAAGGCUAUGCCUGCCUUGGCAGCACAUAAACAGACACCUCAACUGUGCAAAGAUGGCUGGCAUAACCUCUGUGCAAGAGAAACACAUGCCCACAAAGUAUUCCAUGCUUCUGAAAGUGCCUAAAAGAUGUGGGUGAUAGUGUCU
rnacentral:lncRNA from 1 species